CCUGGGAGGCAGCAGUGAGGAAUAUUGGUCAAUGGACGAAAGUCUGAACCAGCCAUGCCGCGUGCAGGAAGACGGCUCUAUGAGUUGUAAACUGCUUUUGUACAAGGGUAAACCUGAAUACGUGUAUUCAGCUAAAAGUACUGUACGAAUAAGGAUCGGCUAACUCCGUGCCAGCAGCCGCGGUAAUACGGAGGAUCCAAGCGUUAUCCGGAUUUAUUGGGUUUAAAGGGUGCGUAGGCGGAUUGAUAAGUUAGAGGUGAAAUGUCCGGGCUCAACUCGGGAACUGCCUCUAAUACUGUUGAUCU
rnacentral:rRNA from 1 species